GGUCCAGGGUUCAAGUCCCUGUUCGGGCG
rnacentral:piRNA from 9 species